rnacentral:rRNA from 1 species
UACAGGGGGGGCAAGCGUUGUUCGGAAUUACUGGGCGUAAAGGGUUCGUAGGUGGCCAACUAAGUCAGACGUGAAAUCCCUCAGCUUAACUGGGGAACUGCGUCUGAUACUGGAUGGCUUGAGUGUAGGAGAGGAAUGCGGAAUUCCAGGUGUAGCGGUGAAAUGCGUAGAUAUCUGGAGGAAUACCGGUGGCGAAGGCGGCAUCCUGGACCGACAUUGACGCUGAGGAGCGAAAGCCAGGGGAGCAAACGGG